UUUCCAUUCAAACUAGGACAAGGCCCUACUUUAUGAAGGGUAAGGGUCUUCUUCUUUGCAAACUGCCAAGGGCUACAGCAAUGAGACCUCUGUCAAGGUGAGGGAAGCCUAAGAGGAUGGAUUCUCAAGCAGGUGCUUUGCCACAAAGCAUCAGCACCCCACGGAGAGAAUCAGGCUCCCUGUGCCCCUAUGUUCGGUGUGUAGCUUUACACACAGAGGUGUCUCUGUACGAGCCAAGAAUGUUCCUAAGAGAUGAGACACACUAACGUCUCCUACAGAGCAUAGACCUGUCCAUGUGGUUUUUCCUUCCCCUGUGAGAUGGGUCCCCGAGGUCCACCCCAGCUCUGGGGAUAGAGCCCCUGAGAAAAGAUCUCCAGGAACCGCUGUUUGCCCAGGCUGGGAAACGCAGUUCACAGGAGGCCAGGCAAGCGAGCCUCCCACAGGGAAAAAUAGGCCUUACUGUCCCUGGAGGAGCACGCUGCCAGAGUGUGUGACACCUGACUGGUGCCUUACUGACCUCAGCUCCGCCACUGCAUGGCCAUCCAAACCAGGACCCAGGCCUACUUGGAGAAGGGUUUGGGUGCGGAUUUGUAAAAACUGCCAAGGGUUACAGCAAUGAGAAGUCUCUCAGAGGUAAGGGAGAGCAUUGUAUGGAUUCUUAAGCUGUUGUUUGAAUGACAGCUUCAAAGCUGCAAAGAGAGAAUCAGGCCCUGUGUGCCCCCUUGUUGGGUACGCAGCUCCACACACAGAGGUAUCCCCGUGGAAUCCAAGACUUUCCUCACAUACUGAGGUUAACUAGAGUUCUCCUACAGAGCAAAGACUUGUCCAUGUGGUUUUGCCUUCCUCUGUGCGUGUGGGUCUCCGGGCUCGGCUCCAACUCCGUUGAAAUAGCCCCUGAAAAAAGAUCUCCAAGAACCACUUUUCCCCCAGGCGGGAAGCGGAGUUCACAGGAAGCGGAACAAGCAAGCCUCCUUCGGGCAAGUAGAUGCAGCCAACUAGCCUGUGUUUGGAAGCCUCUAUUUGGAAGGAAUGGUUAGCUUCUCCAAAAGAAGACCUCCAGAUCUGCUCAGAAGAUGGAAAUUCCAGAGGCAGGGUCGAGGUUCCUGACUGUCCUUUACCAGCCUUGCAAAGACAUUUCUAGAUUCUAGCGUUAUUUUCCAUGAAGGAGCAGGCUUCAGGAAUAUGUCAGACUUGACUGGCGCCUUACUGGCCUCAGCUCAGCUAUCGCCUUUCCGUUCAAACUAGGACAAGGGCCUACUUGGUGAAGGGUAAGGGUCUGCUUCUUUCCAAACUGCCAAAGGCUACAGCAAAGAGACCUCUGUCAAAGAGAGGGAAGUGGAAGCGGAUGGAUUCUCAAACAGGUGCUUUGCCACAAAGCAUCUGUACCCCACGGAGAGAAUCAGGCUGCAUUUGCCCCUAUGUUGGGUGUGUAGCUUCAAACACAGAGGUGUUUCUAUAGGAGCCCAGAAUGUUCCUGGGAGAUGAGGUUCACUAGAGCUCUGCUACAGAGCAUAGACCUGUCCAUAUGGUUUUGCCUUCCCCUGUGAGUUGGGUUCCCGAUGUUCGCCCCAGCUCCGAGGAAGAAACCCCUGAGAAAACACCUCCAGGAACUGCUUUUCGUCCAGACUGGGAAACGCAGUUCACAGAAGGCAAGGCAAGCGAGCCUCCUGCAGAGAAAAAGAGGCCUUACUGCUCCUGGACGAUCAGGCUGCAAGAGUGUGUGAGACCUCACUUGUGCCUUACUGGCCUCAGCUCCGCCGUUGCCUGUUGUUCCGAGCUAGGACCCAGGCCUACUUGGAGAAGGGUUAGGGUGCGGAUUUCUACAAACUGUCAAGGACUACAGCAAUGAGAAUUCUCUUAGCAGUAAGGGAGAGCAUUGUAUGGAUUCUCAAGCUGUUGUUUGAAUGACAGCUUCAAAGCUACACAGAGAGAAUCAGGCUCUCUGUUCCCCUAUUUUGGCUGUGCAGCUUCACACACAGAAUUUGACUCUGUUGGAGCCAGAAAUAUUCCUGAAAGACUUAGGCUCACCAAAGCUGUCCUCCAGAGCAAAGACAUUGGAUGUGGUUUUGCCUUCCCUUGUCAGUAUGGGUCCCCUAGCUUGGCCCCAGCUCCGGGGAUACAGCCUCUGAAAAAAAUCUUCCAAGAAGCGAUUUUCCUCCAGGCUGUUAAGCGGAAUUCGCAGUUUGCAAGUU